UAACUCAAUUGGUAGAGUGUUUGCCUGGCAAGCACAAGGCCUUGGGUUCAAUCCCCAG
rnacentral:tRNA from 1 species